UACGGAGGGAGCAAGCGUUACUCGGAAUUAUUGGGCGUAAAGGGCGCGUAGGCGAUUUGAAAAGUCUUGUGUGAAAGCCCCGAGCUUAACUCGGGAAGUGCACAAGAAACUGUUGAAUUUGAGUUCCGGAGAGGAAGGCAGAAUUCCCGGUGUAGCGGUGAAAUGCGUAGAUAUCGGGAGGAAUACCAGUGGCGAAGGCGGCCUUCUGGACGGAUACUGACGCUGAGGCGCGAAAGCCAGGGGAGCA
rnacentral:rRNA from 1 species